rnacentral:rRNA from 1 species
GACGAACCGAGCGAACGUUGUUCGGAACAACUGGGCUUAAAGGGCGCGUAGGCGGGCUGUCAAAUCUGGGGUGAAAUCCCGCGGCUCAACCGCGGAACCGCCUCGGAUACUGACGGCCUCGAGGGGGGUAGGGGCGAGCGGAACUAAUGGUGGAGCGGUGAAGUGCGUUGAUAUCAUUAGGAACUCCGGUGGCGAAGGCGGCUCGCUGGACCUCUUCUGACGCUGAGGCGCGAAAGCUAGGGGAGCAAACGGG